rnacentral:ncRNA from 2 species
UAGAUUCCGCACUGAGUCAGUCUCACCUCCUCAGGGAGGUGUAGGGAAUCCGGUGAGAAUCCGGAACUGUCGCGCAGCGGUGAGGGCGACGAACGAAGCAACACAGCCACUGGAUCUUCGGGUCUGGGAAGGCGCUCCGUUCGCUUGACCCCGAGUCCGAAAACCUGCUGGCUCGCUGUGUCCACA